rnacentral:rRNA from 1 species
GACAGAGGCCUCGAGCGUUAGGCGGAAUCACUGGGCUUAAAGCGUGUGUAGGCGGGCCCGUAAGUGUCUUGUGAAAUCCCACGGCUCAACCGUGGAACUGCUGGGCAUACUGCGGGUCUUGGGCCAACUAGGGGCAGCCGGAACAAGCGGUGGAGCGGUGAAAUGCGUAGAGAUCGGAAAGAACACCAACGGCGAAAACACUCUGCUGGGCCGACACUGACACUGAGAGACGAAAGCUAGGGGAGCGAAUGGG